CCUACGGGGUGCAGCAGUGAGGAAUAUUGGUCAAUGGACGAGAGUCUGAACCAGCCAAGUAGCGUGAAGGAUGACUGCCCUAUGGGUUGUAAACUUCUUUUAUAUGGGAAUAAAACGUUCCACGUGUGGGAUUUUGUAUGUACCAUAUGAAUAAGGAUCGGCUAACUCCGUGCCAGCAGCCGCGGGAAUACGGAGGAUCCGAGCGUUAUCCGGAUUUAUUGGGGUUAAAGGGAGCGUAGGUGGAUUGUUAAGUCAGUUGUGAAAGUUUGCGGCUCAACCGUAAAAUUGCAGUUGAAACUGGCAGUCUUGAGUACAGUAGAGGUGGGCGGAAUUCGUGGUGUAGCGGUGAAAUGCUUAGAUAUCACGAAGAACUCCGAUUGCGAAGGCAGUUCACUGGACUGCAACUGACACUGAGGCUCGAAAGUGUGGGUAUCAAACAGGAUUAGAUACCCUUGUAGUC
rnacentral:rRNA from 1 species